AAGGAUUCCACGCCUUUGCCAACAAGCACUGUAGCAAAUUGGAAUUUCUCUCAUUAAUUUCAAUGGCUUUGUUUCAAGUCAUUAGUGAUGAGAGGACUUACCGUAUCUUCAAUUAAGACACACGUCACUUCAGACAUUGCGAUCUGGAUAAUGUGUUUUCUGAGAUCCUACCUGCAGAAUUGCCUUCAGCUCUGGGUUCCCAGCACAAGAAGGACAUGAACCUAUUGGAGUGGGUCCAGAAGAGGGCAGUGAGGAUCGUCAGAGGGCUGGAGCCCUUCUGAUGAUCCUCUCCUUCUUUGAGGAGUCAAAUGAAGGGAGCUGGGCUUGUACAGCCUGGAGAAGAGAAGGCUCCAGGGAGAACUCAUUGCAGCCUUCCAGUACUUCAAGAGGGCCUACAAGAAAAGAUGGGGAGGGACUCUUUACUGGGGAAUGUGGUGAUAGGACAAGAGGGGAGAUUUAGGUUUGAUAUAUGAAAUUCUUCUCUAUGACAGUGGUAAGGCAGAGCAACAGGCUGCUCAAAGAAGCUGUGGAUGCCCCAGCUCCAGAGGCAUUCAAGGCCAGGUUGGAUGGGGCCCUGAGCAGCCUGAUAGGGUGGGUGGCAGUCCUGCCCACAGCAGGGGGAGUUGAAACUGAAUGAUCUUAAGAUGUCUUCCAACCCAAGCCAUUGUAUGAUUCUGUGUCUGAUUUGAAAAUGUCAACAUUCUGGCAGUUUAAAACCUUUCUCCCAUACACUCAAAAUAUUUUCCAAUUUGAAAACCCUGUCCAGUAUUUGUGUUUCCAAAACAAUUCAUAUUUUGUGAAAAGAGCCAUUUUUAAAAUAAAAUAAUUUUU
rnacentral:lncRNA from 1 species